GGGGCUGCAAUGGUUUCGACGGGGUAUCAGGAGAGUGACUGAAGCCUGCUCGGUCAGAGCAAAACCAUAACUGCUAACAACAUCGUUAGUUUCUCCCGUCAAACAGCCCCUGUUGCUGCUUGAUCUUUUAGGAGAUGGGGUCAGGUCAUCCUUAUUACCCAAUUGAUCCAUGGAGCCUGGAAGGGCUCCUUUUUA
rnacentral:tmRNA from 1 species